CGCUUGAGCACUUGAAAGGGCAUGUGAAAUAGAGCGUGAGCGAGCAUAAAUAGACAGACUUACCCCUGUCCUAGCAGAGCUCUCUAGCAAACUCAUCAACAAGAUCGCCUUGUAUCCACUUCAGUCGCCAAGAUGAUCGUGAAAGCAUUGGUGGUUUUUGCCGUGGCCGUGUGCCUUGUGCAAGCCAAGCCCAGCUAUUUUUCACUGACGCGUCGUGUCGAGGAUCUGGAAAAGGCAGUUUACUCGCGGCAACAGGUGUGGUACCCGUGCACUUCUUCUGUAGGCGUUUGCAGAUCGAGAGCUGACUGUUCUAGGGCUAAUGGCCGUGCAAUAAUGUCAGGUUAUUAUUGUACAGACAUGGUUUCAAUGUGUUGCGACAGUUAAAGCGGAAGAAUACUCAAGCGUCCAAAGAAUUAAAGUUAAAAGUUGAUACUUUCAAAUAUAAAAGCGUAAUUUGUAAAUAAAAACAUUUUACGUAAAA